GAAAUGUAAAGCCAUAGAAGGGAGCUGCUAACUCUCUUUAUAGCAGUUAAAUUCUGUUAACAUUUCU
rnacentral:tRNA from 1 species